GAAUUAUCAAAAUUCUUGAGCGCCAAAACGCAGAAAUUCUAGAGAUAAGAGCAACCCUACAUAAUAUCCGAAUAUCGAACGACGGGGAAGUUGAAGCUGAUUUUUCAUCUAUUCCACAUCAUCAUCUGGAGACGAGAGAACACCUUGAACAGACUGAAAAUUGGCUGAAAUUUGCCGACGCAAAUCGAGAUUUAUUGAUUGAAUACCUAAGAAUAAAAGGAGGCGAUACUGUUGAGAAAAAUACGAAAAGGGCGUUUAAAAAAUUAGUCAGCCCUGAACUUGCUCGACAAAUAAAUUACACUGGAAAGGGAGGAAAAAUUACUUUAAAACCUUUGGGAAUUUUCUCGGUUGUAAUUGAAAGUGUGAGAAAAAAUUAUCCUGCUGCAACGGACAACAUAAUUGAAAAAGCAGCAAAAGAUUUCUUCCGUUUUAUAAAAGUGUAAUAUCGUCAUGGCGUGUCAACCCGGAUUUUCAGCAAGAAAUAUAAGAAGAAUAGUUUCAAAGAAAGUACGUAAAAAUAUUGCAGAAUUACAUGAAGAACUAACGUCGUCUACACAACAUAGUAAUAGUACAGUGUUUUGUCAAAAUUAAUAAUAAUAAUAAUUAAUAAUAAUAAUUAUAGCUCAGGGACUGAAUCAAGUGAUGUUAGCGAUAGCGAUAUCAGUUUAAUUAGUCGUGUAACCUCGGACUGCAGUCAGGAAGGAGAAGGAUAAGGAUAAUUGAGAUAAUUGUGAUAAGGAUAAUUGAGAAAGAAAAUGUUCUCUUGUCUCAA